ACGUUCCCGGGCUAUCGGAGGACCUUCCCCACCCCUCCCCCCCUCCCUUCUCCAUGGCCCUCCCCCUCCUCAUCCUCACCCUGGUGCUCCUGGGAUUGGGGGAUGGGCACCAGGACCCCCCCUCAAGGCACGAGCACCCCUCUCACCUUUAUGGAGACCCCAAAAGUUGGCAGGAAAGCCCCAAAAACCGCCCGGAUCCGGCCGGGGUGUGGCUGCAGACGAUGGGGGCGGCGCUGGGGGUGUCGCUGGCCCCCAGCUGGUGCUGCUCCUGGUGCCGGCCGAUUCGGGCUCCCCCAAAC